UACGUAGGUGGCAAGCGUUGUCCGGAAUUAUUGGGCGUAAAGCGCGCGCAGGCGGCUUCUUAAGUCUGAUGUGAAAUCUCGGGGCUCAACCCCGAGCGGCCAUUGGAAACUGGGAAGCUUGAGUACAGAAGAGGAGAGUGGAAUUCCACGUGUAGCGGUGAAAUGCGUAGAUAUGUGGAGGAACACCAGUGGCGAAGGCGACUCUCUGGUCUGUAACUGACGCUGAGGCGCGAAAGCGUGGGAGCAAACAGG
rnacentral:rRNA from 1 species